UUUGCAUGAUGAUUCAGGAGAAACAGCUGUUCAGGAUCAGAGGGGACACAGGCAAUGGGGCUUGUGCUGGGGGAGAUCAGGGAGAGGAGGACACUCAGAUUGGUGAAGCCUCAGCAUCUCAUGGGCAUUACAGUGCAUGGAGCUGGCUGGUGCGUCACCCAACAUUUCCUCAGUCCAUGCAUUUAAGCAAGACAAAGCAGGAGAUGACAAGCCCCUGAGGAAAAAAAGCAAAGUUGCAAGAGGCUAAACAGAAGAUAAGAGCUACAUAACAGAAAAGAUGCUCUCAAAAUACAUGUCAAGGACAGCAAAAUAAAUAGGAUCUUGACCCCUGAAGUCACUGUCAGCUUCUUCCCAGCACAAAGUCUAAUUGAAGACACUAGUGAUCUGCUGGAAAUUUUGUUGGGCUCUGUGAAAACUGUGCAUCAGAAUUUGUUUAGAGAAUGUGAUGUGUUUAUUCAGAGAAUUAACUCAAAACAGCUGAAAUUCUUAGUUAAAAAUACUAUGGGUUUGAUCAAUAACAUAUACUUUGUUUUUUAAUCUGCUUUUAUGUUAAUAAAUUCUCCACUCUUAGGUACUUAUUUCUCCUUCUAAUUCUCCUCAGGCUUUUAGCUAUCAUUUUCCUCCUUCUUACAGAAAUGUUCUACUCCUAACUAUGGAAAUAAAUCAUCAGUUACAACACUA